UACGAAGGGUGCAAGCGUUUAGUCGGAAUUACUGGGCGUAAAGCGUGCGUAGGCGGUCUCUUAAGUCCGUUGUGAAAGCCCUGGGCUCAACCUGGGAACUGCAGUGGAUACUGAGAAGCUAGAGUGUGUCAGAGGAUGGUGGAAUUCCCGGUGUAGCGGUGAAAUGCGUAGAGAUCGGGAGGAACAUCAAUUGCGAAGGCAGCUCGCUGGGACGUCACUGACGCUGAGACGCGAAAGCGUGGGGAGCGAACGAGG
rnacentral:rRNA from 1 species